GAUGAACGCUGGCGGCGUGCCUAAUACAUGCAAGUCGAGCGAACGGACGAGAAGCUUGCUUCUCUGAUGUUAGCGGCGGACGGGUAAGUAACACGUGGAUAACCUACCUAUAAGACUGGGAUAACUUCGGGAAACCGGAGCUAAUACCGGAUAAUAUUUUGAACCGCAUGGUUCAAAAGUGAAAGACGGUCUUGCUGUCACUUAUAGAUGGAUCCGCGCUGCAUUAGCUAGUUGGUAAGGUAACGGCUUACCAAGGCAACGAUGCAUAGCCGACCUGAGAGGGUGAUCGGCCACACUGGAACUGAGACACGGUCCAGACGCCUACGGGAGGCAGCAGUAGGGAAUCUUCCGCAAUGGGCGAAAGCCUGACGGAGCAACGCCGCGUGAGUGAUGAAGGUCUUCGGAUCGUAAAACUCUGUUAUUAGGGAAGAACAUAUGUGUAAGUAACUGUGCACAUCUUGACGGUACCUAAUCAGAAAGCCACGGCUAACUACGUG
rnacentral:rRNA from 1 species